rnacentral:rRNA from 1 species
AUACGAAGGUCCCGAGCGUUAUUCGGAAUCACUGGGCGUAAAGGGAGCGUAGGCUGUAGGGUAAGUCAGAUGUGAAAUCUCAGAGCUCAACUCUGAAACUGCAUCCGAUACUGCCGUACUAGAGUAAUGGAGGGGUAACUGGAAUUCUCGGUGUAGCAGUGAAAUGCGUAGAUAUCGAGAGGAAGACCAACGGCGAAGGCAGGUUACUGGACAUUUACUGACGCUGAGGCUCGAAGGCUAGGGUAGCGAAAGGGAUUAGAAACCCCAGUAGUCC